GACAGAGGUCCCGAGCGUUAGGCGGAAUCACUGGGCUUAAAGCGUGUGUAGGCGGCGGCCUAAGUACCUUGUGAAAUCCCACGGCUCACCCGUGGAACUGCUCGGUAUACUGGGUCGCUUGAGCCACUUAGGGGCUACCGGAACAAAUGGUGGAGCGGUGAAAUGCGUAGAUAUCAUUUGGAACGCCAAUGGUGAAAACAGGUAGCUGGGAGUGUGCUGACGCUGAGGCACGAAGGUCAGGGGAGCAAACGGG
rnacentral:rRNA from 1 species